AUUGAAUGUAUAGUUCUUCCCAAAUCGCAGGACCCACACCAAAGCCAGUCUACUGGACUUAUUCUUCAUAACACUGACCAUUCCACAAAAUUCAUUGAUGGUCAGAUAAGUGACUGGACUGUGGAGAUACGCGUUGUGACGUCAUUGAUGGUAAACAGAAGACUGUGACCUUGGAUCAGAAGACCGGACGUUUGGGGGUCACUAUAUGUUACUGUACUACACAGCUAACAGUGACACACUCAGCCACAAAGAGGUUGUCUCUGAUGUCCACACAUAAACCAAAUGGACCGCGUAAAUCACAGUGAAUGUAACGGAGGAACUGUCCGUCCUGAUCUAGGAUGUGGAUACGGUGAUUUCUAUAGUCUGC